rnacentral:rRNA from 1 species
AUUGAACGCUGGCGGCAGGCCUAACACAUGCAAGUCGAGCGAGCGGCGGACGGGUGAGUAAUGUAUGGGGACUGCCCGCUAGAGGGGGAUCACUACUGGAAACGGUAGCUAAUACCGCAUACUAUCGGAUAACCCAUAUGGGAUUAGCUCGUAGGUGGGGUAAUGGCUCACCUAGGCGACGAUCCCUAGCUGGUCUGAGAGGCUGAUCCGCCACACUGGGACGGAGACACGGCCCAGACUCCUACGGAGUCAGCAGUGGGGAAUAUUGCACAAGGGGCGCAGGCCUGAUGCAGCCAUGCCGCGUGUAUGAAGAGGGCCCUAGGGUGGUAAAGUACUUUCAGUGGGGAGGCGUUACCGACAGAAGAAGCAACGGCUAACUCCGUGCCAGCAGCCGCGGUAAUUC